rnacentral:rRNA from 1 species
GACAGAGGGUGCAAACGUUGCUCGGAAUCACUGGGCGUAAAGGGCGUGUAGGCGGGAAGGAAAGUCGGGCGUGAAAUCCCUGGGCUCAACCCAGGAACUGCACUCGAAACUUCUUUUCUUGAGUGCCGGAGAGGAAAGCGGAAUUCCUGGUGUAGAGGUGAAAUUCGUAGAUAUCAGGAGGAACACCAGUGGCGAAGGCGGCUUGCCAGAACGCGCUCGACGGUGAGGGAUGAAAGCUGGGGGAGCAAACCGG